UUUUGGACUCAGAAUCAAUGUGGAAAUUCAUUGAUUUAGAUGAAUUUUCUUUUGAAUCAAAGUAUUUUUACAUCAAACAGUCGACACAUCUUCAUUAACUUCUGUUUGGGGAACGGGACGGCGAGAAGCUUUUCCGCGCAACAGCCAGACAGCACAGGAAUCACAAGAUCCGGCGUAGGAAAGUCUUGACAGCUUUAAGAGGGCAAACGGUAGUGGACUCCUAGGCAACCAUUCGUCCAACUAAUCCCUUUCGAUCCGGUCCAAGGAGAAUCAUGAGUUGUUCGAUGUACCGGUUCAAAACUCUAAUUAUAGGAAAAUCAAUAUUGUAAAUAUGAACUUUUUAAAUAAAUAAAAUGUAUUAAACUAUAA